GACGAACGCUGGCGGCGUGCCUAAUACAUGCAAGUUGAGCGCUGAAGGUUGGUACUUGUACCAACUGGAUGAGCAGCGAACGGGUGAGUAACGCGUGGGGAAUCUGCCUUUGAGCGGGGGACAACAUUUGGAAACGAAUGCUAAUACCGCAUAAAAACUUUAAACACAAGUUUUAAGUUUGAAAGAUGCAAUUGCAUCACUCAAAGAUGAUCCCGCGUUGUAUUAGCUAGUUGGAGAGGUAAAGGCUCACCAAGGCGAUGAUACAUAGCCGACCUGAGAGGGUGAUCGGCCACAUUGGGACUGAGACACGGCCCAAACUCCUACGGGAGGCAGCAGUAGGGAAUCUUCGGCAAUGGACGAAAGUCUGACCGAGCAACGCCGCGUGAGUGAAGAAGGUUUUCGGAUCGUAAAGCUCUGUUGGUAGAGAAGAACGUUGGUGAGAGUGGAAAGCUCAUCAAGUGACGGUAACUACCCAGAAAGGGACGGCUAACUACGUG
rnacentral:rRNA from 1 species